rnacentral:tRNA from 1 species
ACCUUGUUGGCACAGUUGGCAGCGCGUCAGUCUCAUAAUCUGAAGGUUGUGAGUUUGAGCCUCACACGGGGCA